CAGCACCUCAAGUGGUCAGGAUGAUUAUUGGGCCUAAAGCAUCCGUAGCCGGCGCUGUAAGUCUUCGGUUAAAUCUGUACGCUCAACGUACAGGCUGCCGGGAAUACUGCAGCGCUAGGGAGUGGGAGAGGUAGACGGUACUCGGUAGGAAGGGGUAAAAUCCUUUGAUCUAUUGAUGACCACCUGUGGCGAAGGCGGUCUACCAGAACACGUCCGACGGUGAGGGAUGAAAGCUGGGGGAGCAAACCGGAUUAGAUACCCGCGUAGUCC
rnacentral:rRNA from 1 species